AAAGUGGAAUUGAUUACUGGAUUGUGAGGAACUCAUGGGGAGCUGAAUGGGGAGAGCAAGGUUACAUUAGAAUGCAGUGUGACGUCUCAACCAAAGAGGGACUGUGUGGCAUAGCCAUGGAAGCUUUUUAUCCCAUCAAAAACUCUUCUGAACAAGUUCUAAAGGACGAACUCUAAGAAGUGAGGA